AUUGAACGCUGGCGGCAGGCUUAACACAUGCAAGUCGAACGAGUGGCGGACGGGUGAGUAAUGUCUGGGAAACUGCCUGAUGGAGGGGGAUAACUACUGGAAACGGUAGCUAAUACCGCAUACCAUCAGAUGUGCCCAGAUGGGAUUAGCUCGUAGGUGGGGUAACGGCUCACCUAGGCGACGAUCCCUAGCUGGUCUGAGAGGAUGACCAGCCACCAGGGAACUGAGACACGGUCCAGACUCCUACGGGAGGCAGCAGUGGGGAAUAUUGCACAAUGGGCGAAAGCCUGAUGCAGCCAUGCCGCGUGUAUGAAGAAGGCCUUCGGGUUGUAAAGCACUUUCAGCGAGGAGGCGUUACCCGCAGAAGAAGCACCGGCUAACUCCGUGCCAGCCGCCGCGGUAAUAC
rnacentral:rRNA from 1 species